UUCUCCUCAAUCUCAUCUCACUUUCUUCCCUCUCUUCUUCAAAUAUCGCCACCACCACCACUACAAGAAAUCUCUUGUAUCCAACCCAUACCCAGUCGUCGUAUAACCCACCACCGUCGUCCCUCAUGCCCAGCCCGUACCUUGUCGUCGUCGAACAGUCCGUCGACCUCCGUUGUGCUCGCCACCACCAUCGAACAUAAAUUGCGAGUCAAGGUUUUUGGAGUUUUGGUAAAUAUAAUAGCUUUCUAGGAAAUUCUUCCUUCAAGCCUCACUUCAGUUUCAAAACCUCCAUGGAACAACAAGGUGGAAUAUGAGGUAGAAUAAGCUGCAGGACGUCAUACCUUCUGAAAUAGGUGAACUCACGAGUUUAACUCAUUUAUAUUUGAACUUCAAUAAUUUCAGCAGAGAAAUUCCAAGGGAGCUUGCUAGUCUUCCAGAGCUUUGCUACCUACACCUACAACGAAAUCGUUUCAUCGGACGAAUUCCUUCUAAAUUGGGCACCCUGCAACAUAUUCGCCACUUGAAAUUUCAAGGGAUAAAUUCCAAGGGAGCUUUGCUAGUCUUCUAGAGCUUCGCUACCUACACCUACAACGAAAUCGUUUCAUUUGACGAAUUCCUCUUGAAUUUGGCACCCUGCAACAUCUUCGCCACUUAUUUUUUAGGUAGCUUUUACCAAACGCCUAUUAGAAACUAUGCCAUUGAGUUCCUCGUUGAAAUUUUUUUUCUUUGGUAGUCUUGAUAUUGAACAGUUGUAACUUUUUGCUUUUUUAUCAAUACUUGUGUGUGUGUGUUUUAAUUUCCUUGAUAUGUAGG